GUAGGCGGCAAGCGUUGUCCGGAAUUAUUGGGCGUAAAGCGCGCGCAGGCGGUUCUUUAAGUCUGAUGUGAAAGCCCACGGCUCAACCGUGGAGGGUCAUUGGAAACUGGAGAACUUGAGUACAGAAGAGGAAAGCGGAAUUCCACGUGUAGCGGUGAAAUGCGUAGAGAUGUGGAGGAACACCAGUGGCGAAGGCGGCUUUCUGGUCUGUAACUGACGCUGAGGCGCGAAAGCGUGGGGAGCAAACAGGGAUUAGAUACCCUGGUAGUCCACGCCGUGAACGAUGAGUGCUAAGUGUUAGGGGGUUUUCCGCCCCCCUUAGUGCUGCAGCUAACGCAUUAAGCACUCCGCCUGGGAGUACGGCCGCAAGGCUG
rnacentral:rRNA from 1 species